AGUGAACGCUGGCGGUAGGCCUAACACAUGCAAGUCGAGCGGCAGCACAGUAAGAGCUUGCUCUUACGGGUGGCGAGUGGCGGACGGGUGAGGAAUACAUCGGAAUCUACUUUUUCGUGGGGGAUAACGUAGGGAAACUUACGCUAAUACCGCAUACGACCUACGGGUGAAAGCAGGGGAUCUUCGGACCUUGCGCGAUUGAAUGAGCCGAUGUCGGAUUAGCUAGUUGGCGGGGUAAAGGCCCACCAAGGCGACGAUCCGUAGCUGGUCUGAGAGGAUGAUCAGCCACACUGGAACUGAGACACGGUCCAGACUCCUACGGGAGGCAGCAGUGGGGAAUAUUGGACAAUGGGCGCAAGCCUGAUCCAGCCAUACCGCGUGGGUGAAGAAGGCCUUCGGGUUGUAAAGCCCUUUUGUUGGGAAAGAAAAGCAGCAGGUUAAUACCCCGCUGUUCUGACGGUACCCAAAGAAUAAGCACCGGUUAACUUCGUG
rnacentral:rRNA from 1 species